rnacentral:rRNA from 1 species
GAUGAACGCUGGCGGCGUGCUUAACACAUGCAAGUCGAACGAAGCUGCUUAACAGAUUUCCUUCGGGAUUGAUGUUUUGUAGACUGAGUGGCGGACGGGUGAGUAACGCGUGGGUAACCUGCCCUGUACAGGGGGAUAACAAUCAGAAAUGACUGCUAAUACCGCAUAAGACCACAGCACCGCAUGGUGCAGGGGUAAAAACUCCGGUGGUACAGGAUGGACCCGCGUCUGAUUAGCUGGUUGGUGAGGUAACGGCUCACCAAGGCGACGAUCAGUAGCCGGCUUGAGAAAGUGAACGGCCACAUUGGGACUGAGACACGGCCCAAACUCCUACGGGAGGCAGCAGUGGGGAAUAUUGCACAAUGGGGGGAACCCUGAUGCAGCGACGCCGCGUGAGUGAAGAAGUAUCUCGGUAUGUAAAGCUCUAUCAGCAGGGAAGAAAAUGACGGUACCUGACUAAGAAGCCCCGGCUA